GACAGCCAUCCUCUUCCACAGAGACCUGUCCACUGCCUCCGCCCCCGCUGACUUCAGGAAGCCACGAGACCUAACGCGAAACCACGUGACCAACAAUGAACCAAUACGAGGCCCACUCUUGGCCGCAAGUAGCAGUAGCAGCGGACGCAGAUACCGGCGACUGGAAGUGGCCGAACUAGAGACUGUGCUGUGAUGGCCCGUCGCCGCUCUGAGGGGAAGGUGCGAGCGCCACCUGGCUGGCAUCGUCCCCUACGGCAGUGGGCGUAGCUCUUCUGAGAGCACAACGCGGCGCGCUGGAUGCUGAUUGUUGUGUUAGUUCAGAAUUACGUGGAAAUCCUCACGGGAAUGAAAUGACGAUUUGCGUUCAACAAAAGUGUUUUUCAUAUGUAAAUAACUGAUUGAUCUAUCCCCGCGGUUUAGGAACAAAUCAUUUACAAAUGAUAUGGGAGGAAAUGGUGCUAUUGGUGAUGAGAACUACCCAUCACUUUGGAGUACACUGCAGAUGUGCAUGAGGUAAAAAGAAUACUCCUUUGGUCACGUUUGAAGCUCAACUUCUGUGAUUACUUGUCUUUUAAUGCUGACGUGAAACCAAGGCUCCAGCCUUCCUCCUUGAACACAGUCCCUGACACUGUCGAAAAAGUUCUUGAUGCCUAAGAUAUCUAUUGUUGUGACUGUUAUUAUGUUCUGAUUGGCAACCUUACAGUCAUGUGUGCGUCUUGAACGCAAUCCUUUUUAACUAUGUAUGCAAUGCAUUUGCCGAAUGCAGCUAGAGCAAACACAUGUAUACGAGCAGAAUUCAAUAAAGUAGAACCCAGGUAAUAUUUUCUAAAAUUUAGCAAGCAUCGGGCAAGCGGUAAUCGUGGCAGCGCUUCCUGAGACGUGAGUCGUUUCGACUGGCGAGGUCCUUUCCCUGUCGAGCGUCCCGGCGGCUGUCGAGUGUCCCGGCGGCUGUCGAGGGUCCCGGCGGCUGUCGAGUGUCCCGGCGGCUGUCGAGUGUCCCGGCGGCUGUCGAGCGUCCCGGCGGCUGUCGAGCGUCCCGGCGGCUGUCGAGUGUCCCGGCGGCUGUCGAGCGUCCCGGCGGCUGUCGAGUGUCCCGGCGGCUGUCGGAGUGGGCGUCGGGUGCCGCUUCGGGGGAGACCCGCUGCCUCCCUGCCAUCUCCCUGUGUCAAUCACACAUUUAUUUUUUACACCAAAAUGGUCUAACUACUUUACAUUUCCGAUUCUUUGUGUACGCUCUCACUAUAUUUUCAGUGUUGUAAAGUCAUUUGGAAAAAAGAAAAUAAAAAAUGAAAAUAGA
rnacentral:lncRNA from 1 species